UGUGAACUCGAAGAGUAGGGCGGGACACGUGGUAUCCUGUCUGAAUAUGGGGGGACCAUCCUCCAAGGCUAAAUACUCCUGACUGACCGAUAGUGAACCAGUACCGUGAGGGAAAGGCGAAAAGAACCCCGGCGAGGGGAGUGAAAAAGAACCUGAAACCGUGUACGUACAAGCAGUGGGAGCACCUUCGGGUGUGACUGCGUACCUUUUGUAUAAUGGGUCAGCGACUUAUAUUCUGUAGCAAGGUUAACCGUAUAGGGGAGCCGCAGGGAAACCGAGUCUUAACUGGGCGUUAAGUUGCAGGGUAUAGACCCGAAACCCGGUGAUCUAGCCAUGGGCAGGUUGAAGGUUGGGUAACACUAACUGGAGGACCGAACCGACUAAUGUUGAAAAAUUAGCGGAUGACUUGUGGCUGGGGGUGAAAGGCCAAUCAAACCGGGAGAUAGCUGGUUCUCCCCGAAAGCUAUUUAGGUAGCGCCUCGUGAACUCAUCUUCGGGGGUAGAGCACUGUUUCGGCUAGGGGGUCAUCCCGACUUACCAACCCGAUGCAAACUACGAAUACCGAAGAAUGUUAUCACGGGAGACACACGGCGGGUGCUAACGUCCGUCGUGAAGAGGGAAACAACCCAGACCGCCAGCUAAGGUCC
rnacentral:rRNA from 1 species